rnacentral:tRNA from 1 species
GGGUUGUGGCUCAGCGGUAGAACACUCGGCCUUGUAUGUGCGAGACCCUGGGUUCAAUCCUCAGCCCCA